AAACCAGACGGCCACCCUUGGUAAAAAGGACUAACACAUAAGGAGUAAACAGGAUGGCAUUGUUUAGCAUAGAUAAGGUUUGGAAUGUAUAGAUAAGACUUAGAAUGUAUCGAUAAGGCUUGGAAUGCAAAUGAGGGUAUUGUGUGAGAGGAUGUUCCCCCAGAAACUUGCUGAGAAGGCAAGAACGUGGAGCUGACUCCAGAAAGGAAUGCCAGAGGUGAAAAGUGCACAGAGAGGAAGUCAUACGGCCUUCAUCUCAAAGACCCCCGCCCGCGACCUGCGCAGACGCAGCAAGGAGGGGUCCGGGGUGGCAACUAUGAUAAUGAUUUCCGGGAACUAAUUGUAAUAACCCCUCCCUUCCCUCGGACACCUAAUGUAUGUGCAACAACAUGGAUGAAUAUGUAUUACUUUGUGUCAUAUAAUGAGCUUGCCAACAGCUCUAGGGUGUGCACGUUUGUGGAGGAGCGAUCCCCCGUACACCUAGCGCUAAAUAAACAUACCUUCUUUAUAACCUUACUGGUUGUAAAGUCGUUAUUCCUCACGUCAUUUUGGCGACCCAGAUGGGACCCUCUUUGCUCGGCUGUGGGAACAACUGGGGAACGGACACCCUAGGCGCGCCCCGGGAUCUUCUCAGUAGGAGCUCCGCUCCCAGCCGUUCACUACGGGAGCAGACAAGGACCAUCUACAUUGCGGACAAAGCUUUCUUUUAACUAGCAGCAGUGUGUUCUGACUAAGGGCGAUAAGACAGUGGAAUGUUUUUCUAACUGCUGGGUCUUCAAGGUUGCAUCUUCAUUCUGCUGGCUCAGACACUACGGGGAGAUCUGUGACCCCCCCAUAGGGAGGCUGGACUAGACGGACAGCAAAAUUGGCCAGAGAUAUCCCAUUCCAUAUAUCUACGUAAGCUCAGAGGAAGGUCAGAGAUCACAGAAGACAACUUCCUUCCUGCUUCUCCUUUCAUCUAUGGCCGGCAUCCAGGGAGGACUCCAUGUAUCCAUCACCAUUGUCCCCUAGGCUGGUGCAUUCCUGACCCUCAUAACUCUACCCUCAGCUCCUGUCUGCUCUGCCACGCUCUCCAGCAGCAGUUUGGGACUUUUCAGGACUGUUCACAGCUAAGGAGAGUGCUAUGGGAAUUGCUGGGGGUGGGGGGGGAUGCAAUAGGCUUUUGCACAUUCAUGAACACGUUUGUAUAUAAUUGUACAUAUUUUCUUUUAUGUGUUUAAUUAAAGCUGUCUAGUCUAGUUUUCAAUCUAGAAAA